UCUCCGUAGGUGAACCAGCGGAAGGAUCAUUACUGUAUAAAAGAAGCGCGAAGACUGUCGCUGACCCGACAGGUCGUGCACGCGCGAGUGCGCCCACACACAUCCAGCUGACCCCUGGGAGCACCACCGCGUGGGGGCCACUUUGGCUUGUUCGGAGGGGGGCGUACGUUCUCACACAAACUUAGAAUGAAGUGAAGAAUGUAUUCAUUGGUUUUGCUAUCACGCAAUCAAAACAACUUUCAACAACGGAUCUCUUGGCUCUCGCAUAGAUGAAGAACC
rnacentral:misc_RNA from 1 species